UACGGAGGGUGCGAGCGUUGUCCGGAAUCAUUGGGCGUAAAGGGCGCGUAGGUGGCGCAGCAAGCGUGCGGUGAAAGCUCGGGGCUCAACCCCGAGUCGGCCGUGCGAACUGCUGGGCUCGAGCACUGUAGAGGCAGGCGGAAUUCCGGGUGUAGCGGUGGAAUGCGUAGAUAUCUGGAGGAACACCGGUGGCGAAGGCGGCAUCCUGGACCGGUAUUGACGCUGAGGCGCGAAAGCCAGGGGAGCAAACGGG
rnacentral:rRNA from 1 species